ACACUGAAAGGAGGUGAUCCUGAAUUGAGUUCCAUCAGGAUGCGUGAGGUGGCUGCUCGCUAGAGCCGCCCCUGCCUGCGCAGGGUGAGGCCCCAGGCCUCCGGCAGGCGAAAUCCACAGCAGUCACCCGGCCCGCGGGCUCACCGGUACAUCCCCGGUGCCUCGGGCGCCAGGCCAGUGCACGGGCCGGCGCCGAGGAGCAGCCCGCGGGCCGUCUGCG
rnacentral:sRNA from 1 species